rnacentral:rRNA from 1 species
GAUGAACGCUGGCGGCGUGCCUAAUACAUGCAAGUCGAGCGAACGGACGAGAAGCUUGCUUCUCUGAUGUUAGCGGCGGACGGGUGAGUAACACGUGGAUAACCUACCUAUAAGACUGGGAUAACUUCGGGAAACCGGAGCUAAUACCGGAUAAUAUUUUGAACCGCAUGGUUCAAAAGUGAAAGACGGUCUUGCUGUCACUUAUAGAUGGAUCCGCGCUGCAUUAGCUAGUUGGUAAGGUAACGGCUUACCAAGGCAACGAUGCAUAGCCGACCUGAGAGGGUGAUCGGCCACACUGGAACUGAGACACGGUCCAGACUCCUACGGGAGGCAGCAGUAGGGAAUCUUCCGCAAUGGGCGAAAGCCUGACGGAGCAACGCCGCGUGAGUGAUGAAGGUCUUCGGAUCGUAAAACUCUGUUAUUAUGGAAGAACAUAUGUGUAAGUAACUGUGCACAUCUUGACGGUACCUAAUCAGAAAGCCACGGCGAACUACGU